rnacentral:rRNA from 1 species
GACGAACGCUGGCGGCGUGCCUAAUACAUGCAAGUCGAGCGGACGUUUUUGAAGCUUGCUUUAAAAACGUUAGCGGCGGACGGGUGAGUAACACGUGGGCAACCUACCUUAUCGACUGGGAUAACUCCGGGAAACCGGGGCUAAUACCGGAUAACAUCUAGCACCUCCUGGUGCCGGAUUGAAAGAGGGCUUCUUGCUCUCACGAUAAGCUGGGCCCGGGGCGCAUUAGCUAGUUGGAGAGGUAAUGGCUCCCCAAGGCGACGAUGCGUAGCCGACCUGGGAGGGUGAUCGGCCACACUGGGACUGAGACACGGCCCAGACUCCUACGGGAGGCAGCAGUAGGGAAUCUUCCGCAAUGGACGAAAGUCUGACGGAGCAACGCCGCGUGAGUGAUGAAGGGUUUCGGCUCGUAAAGCUCUGUUAUGAGGGAAGAACACGUACCGUUCGAAUAGGGCGGUACCUUGACGGUACCUCAUCAGAAAGCCACGGCUAACUACGUGCCAGCAGCCGCCGUAA